rnacentral:lncRNA from 1 species
UUUUUUUUUUUCCUUGUAAAUUUGUUUAGGUUCCUUGUAGACCUUGGAUAUUAGACCUUCAUCAGGUGGAAAGAUUGCAAAAAUUUUUCCCCAUUCUGUAGGUUGUCUGUUCACUCUGGUGAUAGUUUCUAUUGCUGUGUAGAAGCUCUUAAGUUUAAUUAGAUCCCAUUUGUCCAUUUUUGCUUUUGUUGCAAUUGUUUUUGGUAUUUUUGUCAUGAAAUAUUUGCCUCUGCCUAUGUCCUAAAUGGGAUUGACUAGAUUUUCUUCUAGGGUUUUUAGUUUUGGAUUUUACAUUUAAGUCUUUAAUUCAUCUUGAGUUGAUUUUUGUAUAAGGUUUAAGGAAGGGGGUUACAAUUUUCCACAUAUGGCUAGCCAGUUCUCCCAGCACCAUUUAUUAAAUAGGGAGUCCUUUUCCCAUUGCUUGUUUGUGUCAGGAUUGUUGAAGAUCAGAUGGUUGUAGGUGUGCAGUCUUAUUUCUGAGUUCUCUAUUCUGUUCAUUGGUCUAUGUGUUUGUUUUUAUACCAGUACCAUGCUGUUUUGGUUACUGUGGCUCUGUAGUAUAGUUUGGAGUUGGGUAACAUGAUGCUUCCAGCUUUUUUCCUUUUGUUAGGAUUGUCUUCACUAUUUGGGCUGUUUUUUUUUUUUUUUCAGUUCUGUAUGAAUUUUAAAAUAGUCUUUUCUAAUUUUUUGAAGAAUGUCAAUGGUAGUUUAAUGGGAAUAGCAUUGAAUCUAUAAAUUACUUUGUGCAGUACAGUCAUUUUCAUGAUAUUGAUUCUUCUUAUCUAUGAGCAUAAAAUGUUUUUCCAUUUGUUUGUUUCCUCUCUGAUUUCCUUGAGCAGUGGUUUGUAGUUCUUCUCAAGGAGGUCCUUCACUUCCCUUGUUAUCUGUAUUCCUAGGUAUUUUAUUCUUUGUGUGGCAAUUGUGAAUGGGACUUCAUUUAUGGUUUGGCUCUCUGCUUGCCUGUUGUUGGCAUAAAGGAAUGCCAGUGAUUUUUGCGCAUUGAUUUUGUAAGUUGAGACUUUGCUGAAGUUGCUUAUCAGCUUAAGAAGCUUUUGGGCUGAGAUGAUGGGGUUUUCUAAAUAUAGGACAUGUCAUCUGCAAACAGGGAUAGUUUGACUUCCUCUCUUCCUAUUUGAAUACUCUUUAUCUAUUUCUCUUGCCUGAUUGUCCUGGCUAGAACUUCCAAUACUAUGUUGAAUAGGAGUGGUGAGAGAAGGCAUCCAUGU